CCUACGGGAGGCAGCAGUGAGGAAUAUUGGUCAAUGGCCGUAAGGCUGAACCAGCCAAGUCGCGUGAAGGAAGAAGGAUCUAUGGUUUGUAAACUUCUUUUAUAGGGGGAUAAAGGUAUCCACGUGUGGCUAUUUGCAUGUACCCUAUGAAUAAGCGUCGGCUAACUCCGUGCCAGCAGCCGCGGUAAUACGGAGGAUGCGAGCGUUAUCCGGAUUUAUUGGGGUUACAGGGUGCGUAGGUUGUUUUUUAAGUCAGCGGUGAAAGUUUGUGGCUCAACCAUAAAAUUGCCGUUGAAACUGGAAGACUUGAGUGUGUUUGAGGUAGGCGGAAUGCGUGGUGUAGCGGUGAAAUGCAUAGAGAUCACGCAGAACUCCGAUUGCGAAGGCAGCUUACUAAGCCAUAACUGACACUGAAGCACGAAAGCGUGGGGAUCAAACAGGAUUAGAUACCCCUGUAGUC
rnacentral:rRNA from 1 species